GCCUGGGUGGCUCAGUCGGUUAAGCAUCCGACUUUGGCUCAGGUCAUGAUCUCGCAGUUUGUGGGUUCAAGCCCCACGUUGGGCU
rnacentral:tRNA from 1 species